rnacentral:rRNA from 1 species
AGCAGCCGCGGUAAUUCCAGCUCCAAUAGCGUAUAUUAAAGUUGUUGCAGUUAAAAAGCUCGUAGUUGAAUUUCGGGGUCAGCAAGUUGGUCGUGCCACUGGUAUGUACUGGCUUUGCUGAUUCCUCCUUCUUGUAGAACCGUAAUGCCAUUAAGUUGGUGUUGCGGGAAAACAGGACUGUUACUUUGAAAAAAUUAGAGUGUUUAAAGCAGGCUAACGCUUGAAUACAUUAGCAUGGAAUAAUGAAAUAGGACGACGAUCCUAUUUUGUUGGUUUCUAGGAUUGACGUAAUGAUUAAUAGGGAUAGUUGGGGGCAUUAGUAUUCAAUUGUCAGAGGUGAAAUUCUUGGAUUUAUUGAAGACUGACUACUGCGAAAGCAUUUGCCAAGGAUGUUUUCAUUAAUCAAGAACGAAAGUUAGGGGAUCGAAGACGAUCAGAUACCGUCGUAGUCUUAACCAUAAACUAUGCCGACUAGGGAUCGGAUGAUGUUAAUUUUAUAAUGACUCA